rnacentral:rRNA from 1 species
GACGUAGGAGACGAGCGUUGUCCGGAUUUACUGGGCGUAAAGCGCGCGCAGGCGGCCCCGCAGGUCGGUUGUGAAAGCCCCCGGCUCAACCGGGCGGAGGCGAGCAAAACCGCGGGGCUGGAGGCUGGCAGAGGGUGGUGGAAUUCCCGGUGUAGUGGUGAAAUGCGUAGAGAUCGGGAGGAACACCCGCGGCGAAGGCGGCCACCUGGACCAGACCUGACGCUGAGGCGCGAAGGCCGGGGGAGCGAACGGGG